rnacentral:rRNA from 1 species
GGUAAUGCCGGAUGCUCCGGUUGGAUGCAUGUCCUUCCGGGAAAGGUUCCAUCGGUAUGGGAUGGGGUCGCGUCCUAUCAGCUUGAUGGCGGGGUAACGGCCCACCAUGGCUUCGACGGGUAGCCGGCCUGAGAGGGCGACCGGCCACAUUGGGACUGAGAUACGGCCCAGACUCCUACGGGAGGCAGCAGUGGGGAAUAUUGCACAAUGGGCGCAAGCCUGAUGCAGCGACGCCGCGUGCGGGAUGGAGGCCUUCGGGUUGUAAACCGCUUUUGAUCGGGAGCAAGCCCUUCGGGGUGAGUGUACCUUUCGAAUAAGCACCGGCUAACUACGUGCCAGCAGCCGCGGUAAUACGUAGGGUGCAAGCGUUAUCCGGAAUUAUUGGGCGUAAAGGGCUCGUAGGCGGUUCGUCGCGUCCGGUGUGAAAGCCCAUCGCUUAACGGUGGGUCUGCGCCGGGUACGGGCGGGCUGGAGUGCGGUAGGGGAGACUGGAAUUCCCGGUGUAACGGUGGAAUGUGUAGAUA